rfam:Hordeum vulgare subsp. vulgare, WGS project CAJW01000000 data, contig: morex_contig_368975
GUAGUACUCCCUCCGUGUUAAAAUUCUUGUCUUAAAUUUAUCUAUAUAUGAAUAUAUGUAAUCAGAUUUUAGUAUUUAGAUGCAUUCAUUUUUUAAUAAACCUAAGACAAAAAUAUUAAGACGGAGGGAGUACGUA